rnacentral:ncRNA from 1 species
AAGGAGUAAGCUGAAAAUCCUUAGAAGAGUAGGCA